UCCCUGGUGGCUCAGAUGGUAAAGAAUCUGCCUGCCACGCAGGAGACCCAGGUUCAAUCUCUGGGUCAGGAAG
rfam:Ovis aries breed Texel chromosome 13, whole genome shotgun sequence.